UCCCCCCAAAAGGCAUUGUCACUCUGAUGUCUCCAGUGAAGAAGGACAGCCCUCCGCAUUUAUCUUCAGAGGGUGAGAGCAAAUCCUUCAGUGGUCCAUUGAAGUUCUGUUGAGUGCAAUAUACCUAGGUAGGCCAAAGCCACCCUGGAGCUGAGAGGUCCAACUGGUUGAGGUGAGGCUAAUUCUAGGCAGGCUGGGAAGGCCUGGCCUGGCUUAUAAAGCCUUUAAGUGGGAUCACCUUCUCUUUGCUGCAGAAUGGCACCCAAAUCAUAACAACAACUUAUAAGUGGGCCAGACAGCCGUGGUUCACUGAGUGUGGUUUGGAGUUUAUUUUAUGUUUUGUGAGUGCUCUACUGGACCCUUUCCUGGCUGAGACAGCGUAAUGGAAGGCAGUAUGGAAGGAGACAUAACCCGGUCAGGACGGAACUGAAGCAACAUUCCUUGCAAAGGGAUAACUUAAUGGAAAAGGAAGGGGAGUUUGUGCAACCAGGACAGUUCCUCCUCCAGUUUCUGGCAUGGACCCAGCAAGGACAUCCGCAGGGAUUUAUGGGAGUCAUUGUCUUGAAGGACAACCCUAUUGGGGUCCUUAGGUGCCACCAAAAGGCACUGCAGGGAAGAGGACUUCCUGCUUCAGGAGACUUCCAAACUGACCUGGAAGUGCUUCCGUUGGGCUAUGCCCCAGUGCCAGAAGUACUCCCGAGUCUGACAUAAAAACGAGCGGUUCAGCCUACUCCAUUGAAUCAGAGUUGGGAGGCAGAAGACAAAGCUUACCUGGAGUAGGAAUGGGGGGGAUUGUGAAUUGUGGAUUGA